GCAGUGUCAUUUUCAGUUGUUUCGGCUUUUUUGAGAGAUGAUGAGAACAAAUUAAUGAGAAAUGGGGGUAAUGGGAGCUCAAUUGGGAAUGGGAAUGGAAAUGGUGGUGUGAUGGGGAGAGGGAAAGUGAGGGCUGAAUCGGUUAUUGAAGCAGCAACACUUGCUGCUAAUGGACAGCCAUUUGAGGUUGUUUACCAUCCUCGUGCCAGCAUGCCGGAGUUUUGUGUGACUGCUGCGAUGGUUAAAGCAGCAUUUCAGAUCCAGUGGUGUUCGGGAAUGAGGUUCAAGAUGGCUUUUGAAACCAAGGAUUCAUCACGGAUAAGUUGGUUUGUGGGAACCAUUUCUUCUGUUCAGGUUGCUGAUCCCAUUCGCUGGCCUGAUUCACCUUGGAGGCUUCUACAGGUAAGACACUGGGGCGGUUCAAAGCUAGUGCUGCUUCAAUACCUGCUAAUAGCAGUUGAAACUCACUGCUCAUGUCUGGACAGGGACUUGCUUAGACUCUCUCUUUUUGAGUUUUGGGAAGUUUUGGUGAACGGGAAGAUGUUAAGUCCUCUCCAAAGGACAGGUUGCUGCUUUUGGUUCUUUGUUCUCUCUCAAACUUAAGACAGCUCAAAAGGCUCAGCACAUGACCACUCUUGUAGAGACAAUGGUGUCAGAGGCAGAGGGAGAGAACUGAUCUAAGUCUGGGAAGGUGCUUUUACAUGACAAAUCAAGUCCGAUCAGCACACUCAUGUCAUUACCAGCAAUUGUUAAUAUGCUUUUUAAAGAUAGAGAUGCUCUGUGGUUCUUAGGUUUUCAGACACAAAAUGUGCGAAUGUUGAGGCCUCAGACAAUAGUAUACAAAACCAAGUAAACCUCCUGCAAUCCAAAACUUCCAGAUAGCGAAAUUACAUCCAAUGAGCUGCAAUGAUAUGUCCUGCUAGCGUGUUCUGUUUGCUUCAUGUUUUGACUGUAUAUACAGAGGUGUAAUGUAGUGAAAUGAAGAAUGAUGCCUCACAGCUCCAAUUUCAGCUCCUCGAUUUGAUUGAAAACAAAUCUUUUAUGAAU